rnacentral:rRNA from 1 species
UACCAGCACCCCGAGUGGUCGGGACGAUUAUUGGGCCUAAAGCAUCCGUAGCCGGUUCUACAAGUCUUCCGUUAAAUCCACCUGCUUAACAGAUGGGCUGCGGAGGAUACUAUAGAGCUAGGAGGCGGGAGAGGCAAGCGGUACUUAGUGGGUAGGGGUAAAAUCCGUUGAUCCAUUGAAGACCACCAGUGGCGAAGGCGGCUUGCCAGAACGCACUCGACGGUGAGGGAUGAAGCUGGGGGAGCAACCGG